rnacentral:rRNA from 1 species
UGUACACACCGCCCGUCGCUCCUACCGAUUGAAUGAUCCGGUGAAGUGUUCGGAUCGCGCCGACGAAGGUGGUUCGCCGUCUUCGACGUCGUGAGAAGUUCACUGAACCUUAUCAUUUAAGGAAGGAAAUCGUAACAAGGUUACCGUAGGUGAACCUGCAGAAGGAUCAA